UUUAUUUCCUAUCAGAACACCUCUCAGCGACGUGAGCAUUCUCUCUCCAUGACUCUUCAAUUCCUGUCCGUUCUGAUUCUCCUCUCGGCGAAGCUAGGGUUUCCUACUUUCCGGUUUGCCGGUCUCGUCGUCGUCGGUGUGGUGGUUUCCGCGUCGGCUGGUGGUUAAUAUGGCUGGUUCUUCUUGAAGGGGUUCUAAUCGGCGAAAGGGAGGUGAUUCGAAUUCUUCUCGAGGGAGGACAAGAGGCCAGUCCAUGUGAGUUAUCAUGUGGGAAAUGCAGUUGGCAAGAGAUUGAUUAUGGUGAUGCCUUCACCUGGGGAUAGAUUGUGAAGAACAUUGAUGGUCAGCCUUCCAGAACACCAGAUUUCUAUCCUUUCUCAAGAUCAAGCUAUUGUUGAACUGAAUCCAAUAAUGCUCAUCAGUGGGAAAAGAUAAGCUAACAUACAACUUCAUUCGUUUUGCGAUUUGUUGUUUGCUUAUGGUAUUUAUAUGUUUUACAGGUUUGAUUGUAUUUUCAUAAGAAUACAGACUUC